GUGUAUGAAGGACGAAAAGAAAAUUUUUAAUUAUAUAAAAGCGAUUCUGACUGUUGCUUUGAGCGAACGAGCUGAAGUCCUACCAUCUGGAGAGGAAUUACCUUGCCCAACGGCAAAGACUUAUCUAAGAAAUUCAAUUAUAGUGGAUUAGAAUAAAGUUGAGAAUCAUUUAUUAAACCACCAAACAGAAGAAGUUUUUUUUCGAGUGCAAAGUUUAAAUUAUCUUUCCAUCAAGCAAUCGUGGAUUCACUUAAUUUUAUCCAGCGGUUAUCUACUUGUCGACAGGAAUCAAAGUUACUAAAUGUAUUUUUUCAAAAGUUUAAGUUUAAAAAGAAGUUGAAAAUUAUUUAUUUAUAAUAUUCGAUGUUAUAAAUAACCUGAUUAAAUACAUAAUGUGUUUUAUGUGAUCAAAUCCGCUGGCAUUUUUAGUUGCGUCAUUUUUUCUUGCUGUUUGAAAUUCAAGUAUCACAAAACGUGGUUUCUCGAGCUGCGUAGAAGUUUUGACUGCCCAUAUGUGCUUCGAAGUACUUGGUAAUAGAGGAUACUCAUACAGCUCCCAAGCACGGAAACUGAUUGAGAUAGCUGGAUCACUUGUAAUAUAAUUCAAAGCUUCAAUUUUUUGUUUAUCAGCCAUGGUCAUGUAUGGUACAAUCUACUCGAUUUUUUGCAGUGUAAUUUUAACAGCUUCAGCAUGAGCUCCAGCAGCAGGUAGGCCACAAUGUAUGCAUUCAAAUCAAAAUAUGAUCUUAUCAAAAUUAAUUCAUGUCUUGCAUUGAUGACAAUUUUAUGGUAAUCUUCAGCAAAACCAAGCAGGAGACUCAGUGGUAUAGAUAUACCUACCAAAAACAGAUUCUCUGUAUAAAAUCGCGCCAAGUACACGUUUAAAAUUUUUUACAAUUACGAAAAGAUUCUUUUUACAAAAAAAAUAAAUCACAUCGAAAAAAUACCA